rnacentral:rRNA from 1 species
UGGGGAAUUUUGGACAAUGGGCGAAAGCCUGAUCCAGCAAUGCCGCGUGUGUGAAGAAGGCCUUCGGGUUGUAAAGCACUUUUGUCCGGAAAGAAAUCCUUGGCUCUAAUACAGUCGGGGGAUGACGGUACCGGAAGAAUAAGCACCGGCUAACUACGUGCCAGCAGCCGCGGUAAUACGUAGGGUGCAAGCGUUAAUCGGAAUUACUGGGCGUAAAGCGUGCGCAGGCGGUUUGCUAAGACCGAUGUGAAAUCCCCGGGCUCAACCUGGGAACUGCAUUGGUGACUGGCAGGCUAGAGUAUGGCAGAGGGGGGUAGAAUUCCACGUGUAGCAGUGAAAUGCGUAGAGAUGUGGAGGAAUACCGAUGGCGAAGGCAGCCCCCUGGGCCAAUACUGACGCUCAUGCACGAAAGCGUGGGGAGCAAAACAGGAUUAGAUACCCUGGUAGUCCACGCCCUAAAACGAUGUCAACUAGUUGUUGGGAUUCAUUCUUAGUAACGUAGCUAACGCGUGAAGUUGACCGCCUGGGGAGUACGGUCGCAAGAUU